ensembl:lncRNA
CUAAUUUUAGUUUAUGUGACAAAACAAGCAGUGUGUAGAAUCAUUGUACCCUCUAAACUGCUAUGAAAAAAAUAAUUUCAAUAACCAAAAAUAUUGUAUUUUCAGAUGUUUAAAGCUCGUGUACAAACCCCAUAAAGUAAAAAGACACUAAACCUAAACGUAAGGAGAGGAAGCAGAAAUAGUGCACAUAGAAUGGAUCUACCACUUAUCAAGCUUGCUUUCAAUCAGAAUUACAGAUCUAUAACUCACAUUUCUAUGUGUACUUAGUCGGGUACACACAAAUGGUACAUACUGGACCUUUAAAGGUUUGUAAACAUUUGACAAAUGUUUUAUUUUUUAAUGAACUAUUGCUUAAACACAUAAAUACAUAAAUAAUAAUAAUAAUAAAUACAUUCCUGUACCAGAGUUGGCUCAAUCGAAAUACCUUCAAAAUAACAACUCUAUUCAGCACUAUAGACAGUAACAUCUUGGAGCAAUGCUUCUCCAAUUUUGCAUAGAAAUGAGCGUAGCCUCAGAAUGAUUGUAUCAGGGAGAGCCUUGGGAUAAAAUAGCCUUGGGAUAAAAUAGCUUUCUUUGAAGUAUGUGUGUGUGUGUGAGAGAGAGAGAGAGCACAAGCUUUUUGUGAGAGGUGUGUGUGUGUGUGUGUAUGGUAGCUGUUGUGAGAGGUGUGUGUGUGUGUAUGAGAGCUGUUAGGAGCGAGAAAGAUGAGAGUGAUAAUUGGGUUUAUCUUCCUCUCCCUCUCUCUCUCUCUCUCGCUCUCGCUCUCUCGCUGUGGGUGUACACUCAUCCCUUCCUCUCUCUCUCGCUGUGGGUGUACACUCAUCCCUUCCUCUCUCUCUCUCGCUGUGGGUGUACACUCAUCCCUUCCUCUCGCUCUCUCGCUGUGGGUGGACACUCAUCCCUUCCUCUCUCUCUCUCGCUGUGGGUGUACACUCAUCCCUUCCUCUCUCUCUCUCUGUGGGUGUACACUCAUCCCUUCCUCUCUCUCUCUCACUGUGGGUGUACACUCAUCCCUUCCUCUCUCUCUCUCGCUGUGGGUGUACACUCAUCCCUUCCUCUCUCUCUCUCGCUGUGGGUGUACACUCAUCCCUUCCUCUCUCUCUCUCACUGUGGGUGGACACUCAUCCCUUCCUCUCUCUCUCGCUGUGGGUGUACACUCAUCCCUUCCUCUCUCUCUCUCGCUGUGGGUGUACACUCAUCCCUUCCUCUCUCUCUCUCACUGUGGGUGGACACUCAUCCCUUGCUGAAGUGCUGCCUUUCUUUCAGGUGCUCACCUAAAACGAGGGAGAAAAUUCAAAUAGAAAACUAGAACAUCAAGGAGAGUGUCCUCUGUACAGGAGCCAUCAGCACCAACCUUCCUCCUCCUCUUCCUCCUCCUCCUUGCAGACAGCAGGGGGGGAAAGUCUGUUUCCAUGACAAUGGUAGAAUUAAGGGCGCAGGAGCGCAAUCCCAAAAUGACAUUGGACUCGAGCCUGAAUGACAUGAUAAAUCACCUUCAAUGAUUUGACACUGGGCACUCUCUCGAACAUCAAGGUGGGGGGUGUAGAACAAAAUCUAGUAUUUUUUUUUGGGGGGGUGUUCUUAUCAGGGGAAGGACUUAGUGAACACAGUGCACCAGGUUAUCAACAAGAAAACGUCAGCACAGUAAAUUGGUGAAAAGCUUUUGAUAAUGUAUUUUUAUUCUUAAACAAUCACUAACUUCAUUUCUGAAUUUAAAUAUCAAUGCAUUUUUUUUUUUUUUAUCUCACAAUUCAUAAUGCAUAAAUGCGUGUUUUCCAUUGACGGUUAAAUCGUUUCCAAACCAAAAUAUAAUAUCCCUUUACACCGUAUUGAGCCCCUGGGUAGUCCCUCUGGCAUUUUCAUCUUGUCCCCAAAAGUGUCCUCUUUGUUCACUUCUAUUACACCUAUUUUACUCUCACUCUCUAUCGUCAACCCCUCCGUUCUCUGUAAAGUACAUCCAUUUUUCAUGCAAUGCUUCAUCGCAACCCCCCAGUAGUAUGAAGUUGCAGGUACAUGAUACAUGCUGAUUUAAGGUCCGUUUUGCGUCCCCACCACUUCAUGGUUACAGGUAGGAUAUAUCCACCACUUCAUGGUUACAGGUAGGAUAUAUCCACCACUUCAUGGUUACAGGUAGGAUAUAUCCACC